UACGGGGGGUGCAAGCGUUAUCCGGAUUCACUGGGUUUAAAGGGUGCGUAGGUGGUGCUGUAAGUCAGUGGUGAAAUCUCCAAGCUUAACUUGGAAACUGCCGUUGAUACUAUAGCUCUUGAAUGUUGUGGAGGUGAGCGGAAUAUGUCAUGUAGCGGUGAAAUGCUUAGAUAUGACAUAGAACACCAAUUGCGAAGGCAGCUCACUACACAAAUAUUGACACUGAGGCACGAAAGCGUGGGGAUCAAACAGG
rnacentral:rRNA from 1 species